UAAUACAUCGGAACGUGUCCCGUAGUGGGGGAUAGCCCGGCGAAAGCCGGAUUAAUACCGCAUAUGCUCUACGGAGGAAAGUGGGGGACUCGCAAGGGCCUCGCGCUAUGGGAGCGGCCGAUGUCCGAUUAGCUUGUUGGCGGGGUAAUGGCCCACCAAGGCGACGAUCGGUAGCUGGUCUGAGAGGAUGAUCAGCCACACUGGGACUGAGACACGGCCCAG
rnacentral:rRNA from 1 species